rnacentral:rRNA from 1 species
AGGUGGAUUAGUGGCGCACGGGUGAGUAACGCAUAGGUAAUAUGCCCCAUAGUCUGGGAUAGCCACUGGAAACGGUGAUUAAUACUAGAUACUCCCUACGGGGGAAAGAAUUUCGCUAUGGGAUUAGCCUAUGUCCUAUCAGCUUGUUGGUGAGGUAAUGGCUCACCAAGGCUAUGACGGGUAUCCGGCCUGAGAGGGUGAACGGACACACUGGAACUGAGACACGGUCCAGACUCCUACGGGAGGCUGCAGUAGGGAAUAUUGCUCAAUGGGGGAAACCCUGAAGCAGCAACGCCGCGUGGAGGAUGAAGGUUUUAGGAUUGUAAACUCCUUUUGUUAGAGAAGAUU